CCUACGGGAGGCAGCAGUGAGGCAUAUUGGUCAAUGGGCGCGAGCCUGAACCCGCCAAGUAGCGUGACGGAUGACUUCCCUACGGGUUGUAACCUUCUUUUAUAAAGGAAUAAAGUGAGGCACGUGUGCCUUUUUGUAUGUACUUUAUGACUAAGGAUCGGCUAACUCCGUGCCAGCAGCCGCUGUAAUACGGAGGAUCCGAGCCUUAUCCGGGUUUAUUGGGGUUAAAGGGAGCGGAGAGGGGUUGUUAAGUCAUUUGUGAACGUUUGCGGCUCAACCGUAAAAUCGCUAUUGAUACUGGCAGUCUUGAGUGCAGGUGAAGUACGCGGAAUGCGUGGUGUAGCGGUGAAAUGCUUAGAUAUCACGUAGAACUCCGAUUGCGAAGGCAGCGUACCAAACUGCCACUGACAUUGAUGCUCGAAAGUGUGGGUAUCAAACAGGAUUAGAUACCCUAGUAGUC
rnacentral:rRNA from 1 species